CCAAUAGAAUAAUUAAAAUUUUCAUUGAUAUUAGGCAGAUAAGUACAAUGACAAAAAGAAUUUUUAAUUUCCUUCCUCAAUUAGCGGAGCUGUUGUGGCAGCAUCUUCUAGGUUUUCUUCUUCUUGACCAAUUCCUUUCGCGGGAACAGGGCUUGUUACCUUAGGUUUUGGAGGGGACAGAAGAGCUUACCUGACUCUCUUCAUUCCCUCUGAAAUUCUUCCCACUCCACGCUCAAAGGGUCGAGAACAUCAAAUUUAAAAUUUGAAUUUGUGAGUCAGGCAAUUGUAAUUUUUGCAACUCGCAAUAAAAGGGUCCACAGCAACUUGGGUUGUAACAUCAGAUUCGACCUUAAAUUAGGCAGAUAGCUCUUCAAGUUGGCGCUGGUUUCUACCUUGUAGUUGUCCAGAGCCUCAUAGCUUUCCCUUCGGAGUUGCUCAAAUUAGAGAGGCGUUGCUCCUCUAAAGAUUUCUCGUUAGCCUCCAAUUGACAUAUUUUCUCCUCCACCUACUUCAUUUCUGCCUCCUAGGUUUUGCCUUUAGUCUUUUAAGCAGAGGUAGAUGCUGCCAGCUCCCUAUUUUGGCGGACUGUGUUUUCAUAAAUGUGGCAAAAUUGGCCCAAGUGUUCCCUCAAGUGAGCCCACGAAAUUCUCAAACACAACCUACCUGCCUUUGUUUUUGGUGCAAGCUUCAGACAUGGCCCAACUUAGGAGUUCGCACUUCGCCACCAUCAAUUGGUAAGAACCCACAAACUCUUUCAAUUUAGGUUUUUGGAUAGUUAGUGAAGAAAUUAGAGGGUUUUGAAAGAACUUGAGUGGCAAGAAAAUUUAGGGAAAAACAAUUUCAGUAAGUGAUGAUUCUACUUCUCUACAUUUGGUUAUAAAGCCAAUCGCUCGCGGGAAGUUUCACGUUUAAAAGAAUUGUAAUAAAUGGUUCAAAACCUCUAGUUAAUGCUCGACAGUUGUUAGUUUCUAAUGAGGGUUUUCUUAGACUCUUGGUAUUCAAAAACGUGAGAAUAUCCACCAAUAUUGAUCAUUUAAACCAGUAUCCACCAAUUUGGUUUUGCCUAGUAUGUACCUACCAAUUAUUUUUACAGGGUAGCUGUAACGACCCGAUAGCCAGGGAUGAUGAAAAUUGAUGUUCGAAACUCCUUUCCCAUAAAAUGAACUCAUGAAUGUUUUUAUUAACUAUUUACGAAGUUAGACUAGUAGAGGAUUAAAUUUUGGAUAAGUAAUUUUCGUGAAAUUAGGAGUUGUUAAGAUGUAGGGACCAAAUUGCGUAGGUGUUAAAAGUUGAAUUAUAGGUUUAAAUUAAUUAAAGUGACUAAAAUAGUAAAUAUACAUUUACUUAGUGAUAGUGGAUGGCAUUAGUGAUGUAUGUUAUAUAUAUGUGUGUUAACUUAUAUAUAUACAAAUAUAUGUUAUAAUUAAUAAAUAGCAUAAAUUGUAUGUAUAUUAUAUAAUAAUAAAAAUGAAUAAAACUAAAGCUUAUUAAAAGAAAUAGAAAGAAAAAGAGAGAAUGUGUGCAUGCAAAUUAAAAGAAAAGAAAAGAAAGAAAGAAUAGAAGAGAGGCCGACUGCACCAAGGGUUUCAAACUUUCAAACUUCAAUUCGCCAGUCAAUUUAGUCCCUUUUUCAUGUAAAAUUUAUGUUUUUCUAAUCUCGGUACUUAGAGCUACUCGACCCAUGUUGCAAUUUUUAAUAUUGUUCAAGAUUGAGGAUGUUACCACUAUUAAUUAGUUAGAGCUUUAAGGAUUAAAUUGGUAGAUUUUUAAGUUAGAAUUGCAAAAUGACUAAAUAGUGAAGUUAAUUAUUGAUUUUGAGCAAUAGGGAAUAAAUUGAGAAAAAUUCAAAAUUAAUGGGUAGAAUUGGAAAAUAUUGAGCUAAAUUUACUUUAGAGUGAAAUUAGUAAAAAAAAUGUGAGGUUAAAUUAGAGGUGCUCAUGGGCCGGGCGGCCCGCCCGAAAUAUGGGAGGGUUUGGGUAAAAAUAUAGGCCCAAAAUAUGGGCUUGGGCAAAAAAAGAGGCCCGUUUAGAACACGGGUCGGGCCUCGGGCACCACUUUUUCGGCCCGGGCCCGGCCCGGCCCGAUAUAAUAAAUAUAUUUAUUUUUUAAAAUUUUAAAAUAUUUUUUACAUACUUUUUUAAUUUUUUUAAUUUUAAAAUAAUUUUAAAAUAAUUUUUUAAUUUUUUAAUUUUAAAAUAUUUUUAAAAUACUUUUUUAAUUUUUAAAAUUUUUAAAAUAAAAAUGGGCCGGGCCGGGCCCAGGCUUAUGAUUUUUUUCCCGGGCCGGGCCGAAAUUUUUUUAUGGGCCCGGCCCGGCCCAUGAGCACCUCUAGGUUAAAUAUAAAUAUUAAAAUUAGUCUUGGUUUAGGGACUAAAUUGAGGCUUAAGUAAAAUAUAGUAGAAAAAUUGAAAUUAUUGUGAAUUAAGUGGUAUAUUAAUUUAUUUUAAUUAUUUUAUUUCGUAGCAAACGUUGUUCUGAAUCCUCGAAUAAGAAAGGGAAAGACAAGG
rnacentral:lncRNA from 1 species